rnacentral:rRNA from 1 species
CCCGCUGAACUUAAGCAUAUCAAUAAGCGGAGGAAAAGAAACUAACAAGGAUUCCCCUAGUAACUGCGAGUGAAGCGGGAAAAGCUCAAAUUUAAAAUCUGGUGGUCUUUGGCCAUCCGAGUUGUAAUUUAGAGAAGCGUCUUCCGCGCUGGACCGUGCACAAGUCUCCUGGAACGGAGCGUCGUAGAGGGUGAGAAUCCCGUCUUUGGCACGGACACACCAGGGCUUUUGCGAUGCGCUCUCGAAGAGUCGAGUUGUUUGGGAAUGCAGCUCAAAAUGGGUGGUGAACUCCAUCUAAAGCUAAAUAUUGGCGAGAGACCGAUAGCGAACAAGUACCGUGAGGGAAAGAUGAAAAGCACUUCGGAAAGAGAGUGAAACAGUACGUGAAAUUGUUGAAAGGGAAACGCUUGAAGUCAGUCGCGUCGUCCGAGACUCAGCCUCGCCUCGGCUUGGCGUACUUCUCGGCCCGACGGGUCAGCAUCGAUUUCGCCUCUCGGAUAAUGGCGAGGGAAAAGUGACACCUUUACGGUGUGUUAUAGUCUCUCGUCGCAUGCGAGGGUCGGGAUUGAGGAACUCAGCACGCGCCCUCGGGCGUCGGGGCUUUCGCCCACGAUACGUGCUUAGGAUGUUGGCGUAAUGGCUUUAAACGACCCGUCUUGAAACACGG